AUAGACAUGCAAGUCGAGCGAACAGAAGGGAGCUUGCUCCCGGAUGUUAGCGGCGGACGGGUGAGUAACACGUGGGUAACCUGCCUGUAAGACUGGGAUAACUCCGGGAAACCGGAGCUAAUACCGGAUAGUUCCUUGAACCGCAUGGUUCAAGGAUGAAAGACGGUUUCGGCUGUCACUUACAGAUGGACCCGCGGCGCAUUAGCUAGUUGGUGGGGUAAUGGCUCACCAAGGCGACGAUGCGUAGCCGACCUGAGAGGGUGAUCGGCCACACUGGGACUGAGACACGGCCCAGACUCCUACGGGAGGCAGCAGUAGGGAAUCUUCCGCAAUGGACGAAAGUCUGACGGAGCAACGCCGCGUGAGUGAUGAAGGUUUUCGGAUCGUAAAGCUCUGUUGUUAGGGAAGAACAAGUGCGAGAGUAACUGCUCGCACCUUGACGGUACCUAACCAGAAAGCCACGGCUAACUACGUGCCAGCAGCCGCGGUAAUACGUAGGUGGCAAGCGUUGUCCGGAAUUAUUGGGCGUAAAGGGCUCGCAGGCGGUUUCUUAAGUCUGAUGUGAAAGCCCCCGGCUCAACCGGGGAGGGUCAUUGGAAACUGGGAAACUUGAGUGCAGAAGAGGAGAGUGGAAUUCCACGUGUAGCGGUGAAAUGCGUAGAGAUGUGGAGGAACACCAGUGGCGAAGGCGACUCUCUGGUCUGUAACUGACGCUGAGGAGCGAAAGCGUGGGGAGCGAACAGGAUUAGAUACCCUGGUAGUCCACGCCGUAAACGAUGAGUGCUAAGUGGUUAGGGGGUUUCCGCCCCUUAGUGCUGCAGCUAACGCAUUAAGCACUCCGCCUGGGGGAGUACGGUCGCAAGACUGAAACUCAAAGGAAUUGACGGGGGCCCGCACAAGCGGUGGAAGCAUGU
rnacentral:rRNA from 1 species